GACGAACGCUGGCGGCGUGCUUAACACAUGCAAGUCGAACGGAAAGGCCUGCUUUCCCUUGUGCUUUGGGGGUACUCGAGUGGCUAACGGAUGAGUAGCACGUGAGUGAUCUGCCCCCAACUUAGGUAUAAGCCUGGGAAACUGUGUCUAAUUCCCGAUAGGACUGCAGGGUGGUGCCUGUGGUGGCAAACGAUUUUCUAGUGGUUGGGGAUGAGCCCGCGGCCUAGCAGCUUGUUGGUGGGGGAAGGGCCUACGAAGGCGACGACGGGUAGCCGGCGUGGGCGGGUGAGCGGGGACGCCGACACUGAGACUGGGACACGGCUCAGACGCGAAGGGGCGGUAGGAGAGGGGAAGCAAGCAGAGUGAGCGGAAGGGUGAUGCAGCGACGGCGUGUGGGGGAUGACGGGAUUGGGGUUGUAAACUCCUUGCGACCGAGAGGAGGCCACGUGGUUGGAAGGGUGGUGACGGUAGUGGAAGAAGAAGCACCGGCUAACUACGUG
rnacentral:rRNA from 1 species